CACUACUUCCUCCAUCAACACUGCACUGUGGAACUGGAAGUAAUUCACUGGAUGUGAACUAAAUGUGAGCAUAAUGCAAAGGGCUCUGUGCUGCUUCAGAUGGAUCUAGAUAGAUUUCACCAAGACACCAAACCUUUGACUUUCAGUGUCCUUCAUUCGUACUUGCAAAAGUGUCCUUUCACUGGACAUCCCUGGAAACAUAAGUAAAACAUCCCCAGCUGAGAAGAUGGAGCCAGGCACGGAUGCCUUGUCUCGAGCUCCCCCUCUGAGUCAGCAGCUUCAGGUUGCUCUGGGUCCACAUCACUGAGGACCUGACCUAGAUUUACCACACCAUCACCAUCUUGUUCCUCCACAGAUUCUCUUUUUCUCAUCUCUCAUUAUACCUGUGGGAACAAUUUCAUUGCCAACGACUGCUUCACUGUAAUUGUUGUGCACAUGACAAAUAAAGAACUUGAAACCCUUCCAAACAUCUGGCCAGAGACUAUGAAAGCAGUGG